GUAUGUAUGUUAUGAUAGAAUCAGAAAACCUAAUCCUCAAUUUCUCACGCCGCCUCUGCCUCGCUCCCUCACUCUCUCAUCAGUUCACUCUAAGUCUCACACCCCAACCUAAAUCGCGUGACUGCGUCUCAGGUCUCAUCCUCUCCGUCUUUCUACCUCUUCCUUCAUCUGUUGCCGCCUCUCACCUUCUUCCUCUCACUGAGUAGCUGGUGUUGCUCCGUGCUUGCUUCUCAUAGCGUUGGCGCCGCCUGCACCCGCGUGCAUCGCGUUGCCGUCUGCACUCGCGUCGCCGUCUGCACUCCGUGUCGCCGUCUCUACUUCAUGAAGACGAACUGUUCCAGCCAUGCUUCUGUCAUCACCAGUAUCUUCAGAUCUGUUAUCACCAGCUAUGCGUCUGCCUCCAUCUUCUUCAGAUCUGCGAUCAUCAAUGGUCUUUUUGCGGAGGGAGAAAACAUUCAGUCAAGGCAGAAGAAUUCAGUCAAGGCAGAAGAAGGGGCAGUAGUUAGAAGUUGGCCGGUGACUCAAAGGUGAUCUUGCGGAAGGAAAAUGGAUUGGACAAGGCGGAAGAAGGGGCGGCAGUUGGAAGUUGGCGGGUGACUCUUCAAAAUGACUAAAACAUAAUCAAACCGAAAAGGAGAAGAUGGGAGAGGUGAAGGUGUUGAACAAGUACUUCCCAACUCUGUUGCAGUGCCCGACCUGAAGCAAACCCUGGAUGCUGAAAAAGUCGUGGAUACUCUGGGACCCCAUUGCAAGUGAGAUGGAGUGGUUGCUCUUUCAGGUGUUGUUGCUUUGGAAUGCAACUGUUUUGACUCUUUCAUUAGAGCUAAUACUCAUUCUAUUGUGUUUGCUACCCAGUAAAAGAGAUGCUUAGCAAUGUUGGUGUUGCUGCUUUAGUUAAGGCAAUAGCUCUGUAGCAAGAUGGUGAUGCCAAAAAGUUAAUAUUGGGUAACUACAUUUUCGCAAACCAAGCAUUUUUAUUUUCAGAUGUCGGAAAGAUUCUUCUCCUUUCACAAUUAGGUGAACUUCUUCAAUGGGCGGUUGUUGGUGAGCAUUUUUUCUCUUAGUACUUUAAGAGGUUAUGGUAGUUGUUUUUUGGUGUUAGCAGAAAAUGCUAAAAGAUCAAGAAAAAGAGUUGGGAAAAUGACAUGGUAAGUAUUUAUACAUUAAAAAAGAAUCUUAGCAUGUUAUAGUAACUCCAAUACUAAUAAUAAUAAUAAAAAAAGACUAAAAACAUGAAAUUUAAAGAAAUGUUUAAAUACAAUUCUUAAUCAAAACUAUGAAAUACUAUAUGCUAAUUAUCAAUAUAUAUAAUAAGUAACAUAGGCUAAAAUUAAAUGAGAUAUCUUGACUAGAAAAAAAUAGAAACAAUAUAAUUAAUAAUUUUAGUAUUUAUGAUAGGCAUUAUUUUACUUAUAAUUAAAAUAGCAAAUUAAAAUAUUAAAAUAUACUCAAAAUAUGGAUAAAUGAUGAUAUCUGCUCUUCUAACAUAGAAACAUAAAUAAGAAUUAAUUUUCUGUCAAUAACUCUAGAUAUUUUCUUCAAUUUUUUGUCUAAUUGUUUUUUCUUGUGUGUAAAUGGCGAUUGAUUUUUCCAUAGUCUUUCUUUUUUUACUUUGUGCUCAGAAAUUUUUAAUCAUAUAUUAUUCUUUCACUUUUUUUAAUUUUUUUUAGUAACACGCCCCACUACUAAAACUGUGUGAUAAAGAUAUUCUUCUAUCUCUUUUUCUGUAAUAGGACUCUUAUAUAUAGAAUCUUACAUUAUACAAAUACAGAAAAAAAUUAGAUAAAAAUACAGAAAUUUAUAUAGAAUAAAAUUAGUAUAGUGAAAAUAGAGAAAGAAACUUAUAUAAAUAUAAAUUUAUACUCGCAACGGGUUGUUUUUCAACAGUUUUCCAUAUAUCAGACACCUCUUCACAAUUUUCCACCUUAAACUCAGCCUGCAUAAAUAUAUAUAAGGAUAUAUAAGUUAAGUUAUGUUAUAACAUAUUUUUUAGGUAAAAAAAUAUUAUUUUAUUGCAAUAAUUGAAAAUUAUUAAACGAAACAAUGUAUAAUUAAAUGGAUAUCUUUCUAUUGAUUGUAUCACAUUGUUUUUGUGCUGUAAACUUGUACAUGUUUUUUUACGUCACCUAUCUUAAAACAUUAUAAUGUAUUGUGUAAUAAUUUGGUCAUCAAUUCGAUCAACUCUUAUUCUUUGCAAACUUUUUUCGUCGUUUUUCUAUUAGGUUAUUCUUCAAACAGUUGUCUAACAAAUCUUAUGAAAGAAUAAUAUUUUUAUCAUUGGAUUUGUCAAUUAUGUUGUACUUAGUUUAUAUGGUGGUGAAAUAAUAUUUCUAUGUUUUUAUAGAAACUAGGUACAGCAUAAUUGACAAAUCUAACUGUAGUGAAAAUUUUAUUAUUUUAUCACAAAAUUUGUUGAAUAAUUAUUUGAGGAAUGACCAGGAUUGUUAUACAGCAAUAUUUUGUAAUGUUUAAAGAUAGGUAAUUACAAAUGAAUGUUUAAAGGAGAACAAGUACAAAUUUAUAUAGCACAAAGACAAUGUAACACAAUCAAUAGAAAUGUAUCUAUUUACUUAAAUAUUAUUAGUUUAAUAAUUUUUAUUUAUCGUAAUAAAAUAAUAUUUUUUUAUUUAUAAAAUGUUAUAACAUAGCUUAAUUUAUAUGUCUUUAUAUAUAUUUGUGCAGGAUGAGUUUAAGGUGAAAAUUGUGAAGAGGUGUUCGAUAUAUGAGAAACUGUUGAAAAACAACCGUGAUUGCAAAUAUUUUAUUAAUGCGUGCAUUUAAAAAAUUAAAAUUUGAGAGUAUAAAUUUACAUUUAUAUAAAUUUUUUUUAUUUUUACAAUGUUAAUUUUAUUCUAUAUAAAUUUUAAUAUUAUUUAUUUAAUUUUUUCUGUAUUAUUACAAUGUAGGAUUUUAUAUAUAAGGGUCUUAUUACAGAAAAAGAGAUAGAAGAAUAUCGUUAUCAUACAUUUUAGUAGUGGGACGUGAUUACCAGAAAAAUUAAAAGAGAAAUAGAAGUGAAAAAAUACUAUAUAAUUAAAAACGUAUGGGAACAAAAUGGAGAAAGAAUAGCUAUGGAAAAAUCAAUCGUAAAUCAUUUAUAUACAAGAAAAAAUAAAAAAUAGAAAAUAGAAGACAAUAUCUAUUGAGCUAUUGACUGAAGAAUAAAUUCCUAUUAAUGUUUCUAUUGAUCGAAAAUUGUAUAUCAUUUACAUACAAGAAAAAACUAAGAGCAUGUAUCUUCAUCAUUUAUCCAUAUUUUGGGUGUAUCUUAGUAUUUUAAUUUGUUAUUUUAAUUAUGAGUAAGUUACAUCCUAUCAUAAGUCAUCAAAAUUAUUAAUGAUAUUGUUUUUUUGUUAAGAUAUCUCAUUGGAACAGUUUUUUCAUAGUUUUGAUAAAGAAUUGUAUUUAAACAGUUGUUUCCUAUAUUUCAUGUGGUUAGUCUAUUUUUUUCUAUGAUUAUUUAUAUUAGGGUUAAUGUAAUGUGCUGAGAUUUUUUUUAAUGUAUUUAUCCAGCAAUCUGGUAAACUGGUACAUCCAGGAAGCUAGUACAAUCUUAGGCCUUAGUUGUGGGAUCUGAGUUUAGGUUCAUGUUCUUUUGUGUUUGUGGUCUUUUUCACGAAGGAAAACUCUGAUGCUGUUAUAUAAUUUUAAUACUCAUGAAAUAGUGCAAUGUGUAUUAGCACAAUAAAUAAGCAUUGUUUUCAGAAUUUACUGAAAUUAUAUUUAUUUAGAGGUUUAGGUUCUGAAUUCUUAUGUUAAAAUAUUUGCAUUGCUGUAGUUAGAAAAAUUAAGUUGUCUUGAAUAUAUUAAAGCCAUUCUAUCUUUUACUUGCUUUUUUAAUAAUUUUGGAUUUGUGAAUGGUGGUUUUGGGCUGUUUUAAUUUUUUUUUUUAAAUAUCAAAUGACAAAUAGUAGAGUUCUGUGUUGUUUUAAUAAAAUAUCCAGAAAUAGAACAU